GACAGAGGGUGCAAGCGUUGUUCGGAAUUACUGGGCGUAAAGCGUGUGUAGGUGGCUGCGUAAGUCGGAUGUGAAAGCCCUGGGCUCAACUCAGGAAGUGCACUCGAUACUGCGUAGCUCGAGUACCGGAGAGGUUGGUGGAAUUCUCGGUGUAGAGGUGAAAUUCGUAGAUAUCGAGAGGAACACCUGUGGCGAAGGCGGCCAACUGGACGAGUACUGACACUGAGACACGAAAGCGUGGGGAGCAAACAGG
rnacentral:rRNA from 1 species